rnacentral:rRNA from 1 species
UACGUAGGGUGCAAGCGUUGUCCGGAAUUAUUGGGCGUAAAGAGCUCGUAGGCGGUUUGUCGCGUCUGCUGUGAAAACGCGAGGCUCAACCUCGCGCCUGCAGUGGGUACGGGCAGACUAGAGUGCGGUAGGGGAGAUUGGAAUUCCUGGUGUAGCGGUGGAAUGCGCAGAUAUCAGGAGGAACACCGGUGGCGAAGGCGGGUCUCUGGGCCGAAACUGACGCUGAGGAGCGAAAGCGUGGGGAGCAAACAGG